AGGGAGGAGGCCUGUGGGUUGUAACCUCUUUUCUCAGGGAAGAAGAUCUGACGGUACCUGAGGAAUCAGCAUCGGCUAACUCCGUGCCAGCAGCCGCGGUAAGACGGAGGAUGCAAGCGUUAUCCGGAAUUAUUGGGCGUAAAGCGUCCGUAGGUGGUUAUGAAAGUCUGUUGUUAAAGCCCGCAGCUCAACUGCGGAUUGGCAGUGGAAACUUCAUGACUUGAGUAUGGUAGGGGUAGAGGGAAUUCCUAGUGUAGCGGUGAAAUGCGUAGAUAUUAGGAAGAACACCAGUGGCGAAGGCGCUCUACUGGGCCAUAACUGACACUGAUGGACGAAAGCUAGGGGAGCGAAAGGGAUUAGAUACACCCU
rnacentral:rRNA from 1 species